GACGAACGCUGGCGGCGUGCUUAACACAUGCAAGUCGAACGGAAAGGCCCUGCGUUUGUUUGUUGCUCGAUUGGCGAACGGGGGAGUAUCACGUGAGUAACCUGCCCUUGACUGUGGGAUAACUUCAGGAAACUGGGGCUAAUACCGGAUAUGAUCUCCUGCUGCAUGGUGUUGGUUGGAAAGAUUCGGCGGUUGGGGCUGGACUCGCGGCUUAUCAGCUUGUUGGUGGGGUAGUUGCUUACCAAGGCUUUGACGGGUAGCCGGCCUGAGAGGGUGACCGGCCACCUUGGGACUGAGAUACGGACCAGACUCCUACGGUAGGCAGCAGUGGGGAAUAUUGCACAAUGGGCGGAAGCCUGAUGCAGAAACGCCGCGUGCGGGAUGACGGCUUUCGGGUUGUAAACAGAUUUCGACUGUGCCGAAGAGUGAGUGACGGUAAUGAGUAAAGAAGCAACGGCUAACUACGUG
rnacentral:rRNA from 1 species